ensembl:Y_RNA Y_RNA Y RNA
GGCUGGUUCAGUGCAGUAGUGUUUACACACACUCACAGCCAGUUACUGAUUUCUUUGUCCCUUCUCCACUCCCACUGCUUCACCUGACUAGCCUCAA